CUUAGAAUAUAAGUCUGCCUAUCAAGAAAAGGACGAUGAUUGGUUCCACAUAAGCCAUCCGUUUCACCAGGCCUCUUCUAAAAUGUUGAAAUCUGCAUUUUCUCAUGCUGG